rnacentral:tRNA from 2 species
GCAGUCGUGGCCGAGUGGUUAAAGUGAUGGACUAGAAAUCCAUUGGGGUCUCCCCGCACAGGUUCGAAUCCUGUCGACUGCG